GGGCCCGUAGCCCAGCCAGGAUCAGGGCGCCAGCCUGCGGAGCUGGAGGUCCCGGGUUCAAGUCCCGGCGGGCCCGCCA
rnacentral:tRNA from 6 species